GAACCAGCUCAUAGCCGAGGAGGGCCUCCACUAUCUUGGGCUGAGAACAGAAACGCAGAGAUCAACAGUCCGACAGAGCUCCCUGCCGAGCAGACGAGUUGUGGCUGUGAUUCUGCUGAUGGAGACCUUGGAGCAGAACGGUCCACUCACCUGUCAUGCAGGUGGUAAAGAGGUCGCCACAGGACACAGACUUAAUGGUGACCCCAGAUUGACCCUCCAGGAAGCGAGACACAAACUGAGGCUGCAUCUGGUCCGCCACACCGGGGAGACUGGCCUCACCGGAUCCCACUGACGGAGCCUGCGAUCGUUAAAGAUUAUUAGUCACUCAUCUGCAGACGGAUAAUUAUAAAAGUGUUUUUUGGCAAGAGCGUGAGAAAGAAACCGUUUGACUGUGAGCUAAUAAAACAGGUUCUGAGUCUCUGA